GCAGCUCUGAAGCUGGGCCAGGGAAGGAGCAAGUUCUCUUUGCUUCUUGUGGGAGGAAGUGUCACUGGGACCUCGAGAGGAGGAGUUGCUGGAGGAGGAGGCAGGGGUGGUGCCGACCAAGGAGGGGCCCAGGAGCCUUGUGGGGGUCAGUGAAGUGAGGGCUGUUCGGGGUGGGCCAUCCUGGAGCCUGGCAGCCACAGGAGAAUCAGAUGUGAACUUGCGGACGCGGUCUCUCACGGAGCCAGCCCGUUGGAACUGGGACGGUCCUGGAAGAGACAAGAAGGCUGUCGGUGGCUGGGUGGGAUAGGGACUGCCCAGAACCUGGGGAUGCCUCCUCACCACGGUCAGCACACUCACUGCCGAGGCCUGUCUAUUCAGCUCUCUUGGAGGCUCCUCCUUUCUCUCCUGCACUGACCCCCAGGAUGACGUGGACACUCUUAGGAGCCAGGGGUAAGUUUGGGCCAGAGGAAGGUAUCCAGAUUCUCCUUACUGAUGAGACUAGGGGACAGCCCCCCCCCACCCCCCAGCCAGUACUGCCCAUAGAUCCAGCUGGGUGAUGGGUGCACUCCCUUAUUGGGGAGAAGAAUGUGCCUGAGGCCCGUUGCCUUUCAAGGCUGUAAGGAGGCCUCUGGCCAUGGGUGGCAGGGGCGGGAAUACCUCAGGGGCAGUGGUGGGGAAUGUCAGGGAUUGCCUGAACCCAAGAAAGCUAGAGCUGCUGAAGCGGCAGAAGCCAUCCUCCAGGCAGGGAAAGGGGAGCAGGAGCAGGGGCAAGCAGACGCCUGUAGCAACCUGUACAGGGAUCCUCACCUGUUCUCUUAGUGCUGGAGGAGCCUCUGGCGGGGCCCAAGGUGCUAGAGGGCUCUGUGGGGCCAGGCAGGGGCUGCAAGGGAGACACCACAUAGGAGGGGGCUCUCAGACCAAGGAACCCACCUGCCUGGCAUCCCUGCCCCUCACCAAACUCACCUUGCUGAUGACCUGCCCCUGAGAGCUGGGGGGUGCUGGUGACAUGGGGGGCUCAGGGCUGGGAGUUCUCGAAGGACGAGGCAGCGACUCAGAGCCGUCUAGAGCCUCAGCAGCAGGGCACUGGGCUCCGGCGGGUUCUAGCAGAGGCUCGGGAGAAGCAGUGGUGGGUGAACCGUCAGGCGAGGCAGGUGGUGAGCUGGGCAUGCCCCCAGGCGGGGCCCUCAGCAGGAGUGUCACCGUGGUCACAUCCUGGCUGGUGUCCUCAGGGGUGGGGGCUGGGGUUGGGGUUGGCUCUGGCGCUGCUGUCUGCUGUUUCUCUUGCUCUUGCUCUGGUACCUGCAGCGGACCCACAGGAUGCAACCAAGGUUUCUCUGACUCCGAGCGCUACCCCCACCCGUGGAGCUGACAGAGCAGGCCAUGCAAAGCAGAGAGGCUGGGCACGGCUUCCUGUGGGCACACCUGCAUAAGGAAGGCUAGUCAGUGCCAAAGGUGGUUUGACAACCACCAGAUCCUAAUUUAAUGGUUGGUGCUAGCAGGAGACUGGCUGGGGACUCCUGUUCCUAAAGGACCUCUAGACCAGAGCUCUGGACUCAGCCUGGCUAGUCAGGGAGAAGUCGAGUUGUGCAGAACUGGCCAGCUAGCAUCCCCUGCUGGCCAUUAGUGGCAACCGUAUGUCUUGACUUCUCUCCCACACUACCUCAAGAAUAGAGAUGACACAGAGCACCGCUCAGCAGGGGCCUGACGUCAGGCCCUGGUGAGUGUGGUCAACUCCUCCACGUCAUUCAUGGACUCCAGCUUCCCUGCCAACCGUGUGAGGGCAGCCUGCUGCUCAGCUUCCCGCUGUUGAGAGCUGCAGAGACAUCAUGAGCCUAAUUACCAUCGCAUGACAGGGGCCAGAGGAUGUGAGCCCAAGGAAAGGGUCAGGGUCAGAGGCCUGAACCUUGACAGAGAGACACGGAGCUGUCUGGGCAGAACCUCUGAGCAAACAAACAUCGAUAUCUAUACAUCUGUGGACACAGGCACGAAUGCCACAUGCUACCCACACUGUACAGCCACAGUUGGCACUUGGUCCAGACCCACAAAUAUCCUGUGCACGCCAAUGCUCACAGGCUGUGGACACACCUGUCUCCACAUGAGCGGAUCCCUGGCACACUUGCACUUGCAAACCCCGCCCCCUCUGCCACUCACUGUAGCCAGUUCUCCUUGUUGUCCUGCCGCUCGGCACGGAAACGUUUGGAUGCCAGAGCCCCCUCUUCCCGUUCCAGCUCCUGCCGCUGCAGCUCCCGGAUGGCGGAGCGGAUCCGCCGCCGCUCUGCCAAGUCUGCUGUGACCUCCAGCUGCAAUGCAGGUGGGAAUGAGGGGUAGGGCAUUCUGUCAGGGGCAGAGGACUGGCACCAGCUGCCCACAGUUCUGCCUGGGGCACAAUGAGAGGCUUGUCUCCAGUCUCUCUACCCUAAGCCUUCCACGUGCCUGCCUCCCACUCAAGAUCUUUAGGAGAGACCUAGCUCAUGACGCCAAAGAUCCCGAGGAGCCCACUGUGCACUGUGGUACACAGACCACCUUCUGUGAGUGCAGAGCCAGCAACCACCCACCCAAGCCAAGCGCCAAGCAGUCAGGCACUCCUUUAUGUGACUCGACACCCGCUCUCCUGAGUCUUUCGUUAGCCUUUUAGACCCGGGAGCCACAGCAGGAAGAGUGUGGUCACCCUUCUGAGCUACCAACAAGGUCCCUGGAAAGGGAAGGGUGAUUCAGGUAGCUGAAGUCCCCUGGUGAUCUAGUCCCAGAGUAGUAGGGCCCUGCUGGGAAAGAUGUUAGGUAGGAAAACUGAGGC